GGGUUGUGAGGUUAAGCGACUAAGCGUACACGGUGGAUGCCCUGGCAGUCAGAGGCGAUGAAGGACGUGCUAAUCUGCGAUAAGCGCCGGUAAGGUGAUAUGAACCGUUAUAACCGGCGAUUUCCGAAUGGGGAAACCCAGUGUGAUUCGUCACACUAUCAUUAACUGAAUCCAUAGGUUAAUGAGGCGAACCGGGGGAACUGAAACAUCUAAGUACCCCGAGGAAAAGAAAUCAACCGAGAUUCCCCCAGUAGCGGCGAGCGAACGGGGAGGAGCCCAGAGCCUGAAUCAGCAUGUGUGUUAGUGGAAGCGUCUGGAAAGGCGCGCGAUACAGGGUGACAGCCCCGUACACAAAAGCGCAUGUGCUGUGAGCUCGAUGAGUAGGGCGGGACACGUGGUAUCCUGUCUGAAUAUGGGGGGACCAUCCUCCAAGGCUAAAUACUCCUGACUGACCGAUAGUGAACCAGUACCGUGAGGGAAAGGCGAAAAGAACCCCGGCGAGGGGAGUGAAAAAGAACCUGAAACCGUGUACGUACAAGCAGUGGGAGCACAGGUUUACCUGUGUGACUGCGUACCUUUUGUAUAAUGGGUCAGCGACUUAUAUUCUGUAGCAAGGUUAACCGUAUAGGGGAGCCGGAGGGAAACCGAGUCUUAACCGGGCGUUAAGUUGCAGGGUAUAGACCCGAAACCCGGUGAUCUAGCCAUGGGCAGGUUGAAGGUUGGGUAACACUAACUGGAGGACCGAACCGACUAAUGUUGAAAAAUUAGCGGAUGACCUGUGGCUGGGGGUGAAAGGCCAAUCAAACCGGGAGAUAGCUGGUUCUCCCCGAAAGCUAUUUAGGUAGCGCCUCGUGAAUUCAUCUCCGGGGGUAGAGCACUGUUUCGGCUAGGGGGCCAUCCCGGCUUACCAACCCGAUGCAAACUGCGAAUACCGGAGAAUGUUAUCACGGGAGACACACGGCGGGUGCUAACGUCCGUCGUGAAGAGGGAAACAACCCAGACCGCCAGCUAAGGUCCCAAAGUCAUGGUUAAGUGGGAAACGAUGUGGGAAGGCCCAGACAGCCAGGAUGUUGGCUUAGAAGCAGCCAUCAUUUAAAGAAAGCGUAAUAGCUCACUGGUCGAGUCGGCCUGCGCGGAAGAUGUAACGGGGCUAAACCAUGCACCGAAGCUGCGGCAGCGACACUCAGGUGUUGUUGGGUAGGGGAGCGUUCUGUAAGCCUGUGAAGGUGGCCUGUGAGGGUUGCUGGAGGUAUCAGAAGUGCGAAUGCUGACAUAAGUAACGAUAAAGCGGGUGAAAAGCCCGCUCGCCGGAAGACCAAGGGUUCCUGUCCAACGUUAAUCGGGGCAGGGUGAGUCGACCCCUAAGGCGAGGCCGAAAGGCGUAGUCG
rnacentral:rRNA from 2 species